GACGUAGGUGGCGAACGUUAUCCGGAAUUACUGGGCGUAAAGGGUGCGUAGGUGGUUGAUUAAGUUAUCUGUGAAAUUCCUGGGCUUAACCUGGGCAGGUCAGAUGAUACUGAUUAACUCGAGUAUUGUAGAGGGUAGUGGAAUUUCCGGUGUAGCGGUGAAAUGCGUAGAGAUCGGAAGGAACAUCGGUGGCGAAGGCGGCUACCUGGACAGAUACUGACACUGAGGCACGAAAGCGUGGGGAGCGAACAGG
rnacentral:rRNA from 1 species